GUGCCAGCAGCCGCGGUAAUACGUAGGUGGCAAGCGUUGUCCGGAUUUAUUGGGCGUAAAGCGAGCGCAGGCGGUUUCUUAAGUCUGAUGUGAAAGCCCCCGGCUCAACCGGGGAGGGUCAUUGGAAACUGGGAGACUUGAGUGCAGAAGAGGAGAGUGGAAUUCCAUGUGUAGCGGUGAAAUGCGUAGAUAUAUGGAGGAACACCAGUGGCGAAGGCGGCUCUCUGGUCUGUAACUGACGCUGAGGCUCGAAAGCGUGGGGAGCGAACAGGAUUAGAUACCCUGGUAGUUC
rnacentral:rRNA from 1 species